rnacentral:rRNA from 1 species
UGCGCAGGCGGUUCUGUAAGUCAGAUGUGAAAUCCCCGGGCUCAACCUGGGAACUGCAUUUGAGACUGCAAAGCUAGAGUGUGUCAGAGGGGGGUAGAAUUCCACGUGUAGCAGUGAAAUGCGUAGAUAUGUGGAGGAAUACCGAUGGCGAAGGCAGCCCCCUGGGAUAACACUGACGCUCAUGCACGAAAGCGUGGGGAGCAAACAGGAUUAGAUACCCUGGUAGUCCACGCCCUAAACGAUGUCGACUAGUUGUUGGGUCUUAAUUGACUUAGUAACGCAGCUAACGCGUGAAGUCGACCGCCUGGGGAGUACGGUCGCAAGAUUAAA